rnacentral:rRNA from 1 species
GGACCCAGUCCUUCGGGACUGGGAGCCGGCACAGGUGGUGCACGGCCGUCGUCAGCUCGUGCCGUGAGGUGUUGGGUUAAGUCCCGCAACGAGCGCAACCCCUGCCCCUAGUUGCCAGCGGUUCGGCCGGGCAAUCUAGGGGGACUGCCGGCGACGAGCCGGAGGAAGGAGGGGAUGACGUCAGGUACUCGUGCCCCUUAUGCCCUGGGCGACACACGCGCUACAAUGGGCGGUACAAUGGGUUGCGACCCCGCGAGGGGGAGCCAAUCCCCAAAGCCGCCCUCAGUUCGGAUCGCAGGCUGCAACCCGCCUGCGUGAAGCCGGAAUCGCUAGUAAUCGCGGAUCAGCCAUGCCGCGGUGAAUACGUUCCCGGGCCUUGUACACACCGCCCGUCACGCCACCCGAGUCGGGGGCUCCCGAAGACACCUGCCCCAACCCGAAAGGGAGGGGGGGUGUCGAGGGAGAACCUGGCGAGGGGGGCGAAGUCGUAACAAGGUA